rnacentral:rRNA from 1 species
UUGCCUUAAACACACCGCUC